CCUGCUUCCUCUGUAUUCUGUGUAUCAGAUCACAUGAAGUAAUGUUGGCUGUUCAAGAUGAGCAUAGAUGUUAUAGGCAUAUACUUCUUCAUUGUUUCUAAUGAGGUACUCCCAAGAAUCUCCAAAUGCCCCUUCUGGAUGAUUUUGACAUUUACACUCACCACUCUCUAAAGGAUGGUAAGAUAGUAUGGUCCAGUCCAUGACAUCCAAUUCUUUGUCAAAGAUAU